UUGUCCUACGGGGCGCAGCAGUGGGGAAUAUUGGGCAAUGGACGCAAGUCUGACCCAGCAACGCCGCGUGAAGGAAGAAGGCUUUCGGGUUGUAAACUUCUUUUAAGGGGGAAGAGCAGAAGACGGUACCCCUUGAAUAAGCCACGGCUAACUACGUGCCAGCAGCCGCGGUAAUACGUAGGUGGCAAGCGUUGUCCGGAUUUACUGGGUGUAAAGGGCGUGCAGCCGGAGAGACAAGUCAGAUGUGAAAUCCGCGCGCUCAACCCGCGCACUGCAUUUGAAACUGUUUCCCUUGAGUAUCGCAG
rnacentral:rRNA from 1 species